UUUAUUUUGUCAAACAUCUUCAUUGAAGCAUUCAUUUUACAAAUAAAAAAUACUCGAAACACUUUAAAGAGUCAACGUGAGGCAGACUACUGCAGACAGGCUGUGGGUCAAACUGAGCCCUCUUUCCCCAUAAGCAGGGUCACAGUUUCAGUUUCAAUCAUGCCGAGUAAAAUGAUGCUGUUCCAGAAAGCGAGCACAUUUCGACCCAUGUCUGUGCCACAUAUUUACUAAUACACAGUCUUCCAUUGGGGAUUAUCAGAAACAGAGAAGCACAGACCCGAAACAUCCAACAUAUCGUCAGUUACUAUACAGAUAAGUCACUAAUCAAGAAAAGUACACAGCAGGCAUCGAGUGGGUCUGUGAAGCUGCUCUGCAAUCGUGACAAAGUAUCUUUUUCAUGUUUUUCACUUAAAUGCAUGCAUCACACGAGUUUGGUGCAGGAUUUCUGGACACCUUUGCAGACUGGUCACGGUUCUGAAAGCUGAACUGAGGCGUUCCACCUGUGUGCACUCCUCCUCACUGAGUGUUAGACUGUGACAGAAUAUAUCUGCAAUGAGCCACGCUCACAGUGUAAUUUCAUACUGUUAAAAAAAAAGGCAUAUUUUUCUGAAUUUCUCAGAAGUGAGUGCAGCCCGUAAAGGACAGGAAAUUGUGGAUUAGUGAGACUGUGAAUGUGGAGCCACCUGAAGCCGGAGAUCAGCUGGUGCAAAAUCAUUUCUCCUGUGCCCAAAAGAUGUGACAAUGAAGCAAAGACUUUUCUUUUUACUUUCCACUACUCUAACGCUGUCGUUUAGGAACAUUUUCAGGUUUAUCUUUUCAGGUUUUCAUAAUUUUAAAGCCCAGUUUUAAAGACCUUGGUCCAUUUGAUGUAACUUCCUGCUGCUGCACACUCUCAUUUCUGUCUCCUCCUUUGCCACGGUGUGUGUGGUUAGAAAUUUCUGCUCUUAAUAUUAGCAAUUAAUCACAUUACUGCCAGAUGAGGGAUAGUCAGAAUUCAGGGAUACAUGAAGGGUUGCAUGCUUCUUAUAAUGCAGCUUGUAUUUUUUCCUAAUCAGUCCAAAUGACUUUGCACCAGCCCACUGUUUAUGUUUCCUUCCAAUGAAUUUUUCACCAUUGCGGCGCUCCAAGGGCCGGUAAAACUGGCAGGACCGCAGUGUGGUUAACGGGCAUCUAGUUUAUUAAUAGCGUGGCUGUUUGGAUUAUUUUAGGAGUUACGUGUAUUGGCUGCAACAUUCACUGCUAUUCAGCCUGCCAACUGAAGCGUGGCUACCCACGCGAUCAUUACCCCUGCUGUGGUGCUUCAGUCUGAAUGCACUUCACUGGAGCAAGAGGAAGUGUUUAUACACAAGUUUCCUGGGCUAAUUAAUUAAUAGAGAUUUUUCUGUGUGGCUCAGGAUCGGCAGUUGUCCGAGAUCUCUGAUUCGCUGGUUAUGAUGUGGACAUCAUAGCUUAUGUCUUAUUUAAGUGUGAACUUCUCCACCCACAGCUUUACAAGAGGAAAAUUAUAUCUUGAGCGAUCUGAUAAAAGCUAAAAGAAAGCAAAGUCAAGGCCUCUGGUAUUUAAUGUGAAAUGUUUUGUUAAUGGCCUUUUUAACUUUUGAUACUAAUAACAGAUUUUGUUGCUAGGGGACAAAAGCUUUCUAUCUUUUUUCUUCACGUUUAAUUUGUUGUUGACUCUAACAAUUUAAAAAAAAAAAGUUUGCUUGAAUUUAGGCAGAAUAUUUGCCUUGAUUUGAAAGAUUCUGCUUAUCCAAAUAAUAAAAGAGGGAUUUUGGAAGUGAUUGGACUGUAGUGUCUGGUUGGACACAAAAGCAGCUGCACCUGCAGCAGAUGUACAUGAACACCACCACUGCUCAGGUGGAGCACCACUUCUCUCCACCUGAUGAAUGCCAGUCAGUCUCUAUUUCCUCUAUUGAGGAAACUGUGUUGGGUUAAAUGCACACGAGCACAGACUCUGUUGUUUGCUGUGAGAGUGAGCUGUUAAGCAAAAUGGGAUAAUAAUUCAGUGUGGGUUCGACACUGGGCAACCUUUUAUAAUUGCACAGCCAUUUAUGCUGUCAGUACCACCAAAAUACUGAUUAAUGAAACUAAUGUUGAUUUGUUAUUUUAGUCUUCAGGAAGCAGGUUUGCAUUUUUUAUACACUGGUGUGUUUAGAUCAGGGGUGUCCACCUCCAGGCCUCGAGGGCCGGUGUCCUGGAUGUUUUCGAUGUGUCCUUGAUCCAACACAGCUGAUUCAAAUGGCUAAAUGACCUCCUCAACAUGUCCU
ensembl:lncRNA